rnacentral:rRNA from 1 species
GAUGAACGCUGGCGGCGUGCCUAAUACAUGCAAGUCGAGCGAACAGACGAGGAGCUUGCUCCUCUGACGUAAGCGGCGGACGGGUGAGUAACCCGUGGAUAACCUACCUAUAAGACUGGGAUAACUUCGGGAAACCGGAGCUAAUACCGGAUAAUAUAUUGAACCGAAUGGUUAAAUAGUAAAAGACGGUUUUGCUUUCACUUAUGGAUGGAUCCGCGCCGCAUUAGCUAGUUGGUAAGGUAACGGCUUACCAAGGCAACGAUGCGUAGCCGACCUGAGAGGGUGAUCGGCCACACUGGAACUGAGACACGGUCCAGACUCCUACGGGAGGCAGCAGUAGGGAAUCUUCCGCAAUGGGCGAAAGCCUGACGGAGCAACGCCGCGUGAGUGAUGAAGGUCUUCGGAUCGUAAAACUCUGUUAUUAGGGAAGAACAAAUGUGUAAGUAACUAUGCACGUCUUGACGGUACCUAAUCAGAAAGCCACGGCUAACUACGUG